UGCGUGUGCAGAAGGUUGAUGAAUAU
rnacentral:piRNA from 1 species